rnacentral:misc_RNA from 1 species
AAGUCGUAACAAGGUAACCGUAGGUGAACCUGCGGUUGGAUCAUUAAUAAAUCUAGAAGGUCUUCAAGACCUUUCUAACAUCUUGUGAAACGUUCAUGUCUCUGGCAGGCUCAGUCUGCCGAGUAUACUUUGUACUACAUUUAGUCUAAAACAAUUAAAAAAGUAAUUAAAACAACUUUUGACAACGGGUCUCUAGGCUCUC